rnacentral:ncRNA from 1 species
CGUGCGCCGGGCAUCCCGGCACCCGGACGAGCCCGCCGUACCCGGUCCGCGACAAGACGGUGGUUC